rnacentral:rRNA from 1 species
AUACGUAGGGGGCGAGCGUUGUCCGGAAUGAUUGGGCGUAAAGGGCGCGUAGGCGGCCCGGUAAGUCUGGAGUGAAAGUCCUGUUUUUAAGAUGGGAAUUGCUUUGGAUACUGUCGGGCUUGAGUGCAGGAGAGGUAAGUGGAAUUCCCAGUGUAGCGGUGAAAUGCGUAGAGAUUGGGAGGAACACCAGUGGCGAAGGCGACUUACUGGACUGUAACUGACGCUGAGGCGCGAAAGUGUGGGGAGCAAACAGGAUUAGAUACCCUGGUAGUCCACGCGGUAAACGAUGAAUGCUAGGUGUUGCGGGUAUCGACCCCUGCAGUGCCGGAGUCAACACAAUAAGCAUUCCGCCUGGGGAGUACGGCCGCAAGGUUGAAACUCAAAGGAAUUGACGGGG